rnacentral:snoRNA from 1 species
UGCGAUUUUACUUCAUAGGAUCAUUUCUAUAGUAAAUCGUCUCAUCUGAAACUCUAACCAGAGCCACAGAUUCUCCAACCUGGAGGAUGACGAUUAUCUCCUCGAGACCCAAGAGUGAAGCCUUUUUGAGUUACCUCUGCUUCGGCGGUGGUGGUGAUGAUCUCGAACCCAAAUUGCUAUCUUCUCUUCGGAGAUGGCGAUGAGGGUGGGCCCCGAUGGAAGUCUGACAGGU